UUGCCCAAUGAUUAUAGCAAGACGCGUUAUUAUGAGGACUAAUGCUGGAACUCCUUCUCUUCCUCCUCUUUUGUCCCUUCCUCUUUCACCUUACCCCCCCCCCUCACUUUCCUUAGGGUAUCCAGCGUCCUAUGAGCAAGACUAAGAUAUGAGGGCAA